UUUUAGCUCCGGGUGAAGCGGCAUCCCCCGCUUGAAAAGCGGGGAUAUAGCGGAACACGGGACGACGC
rnacentral:misc_RNA from 1 species